AAGGAAUAUUGGACAAUGGAGGCAACUCUGAUCCAGCCAUGCCGCGUGAAGGAAUAAGGCCCUAUGGGUUGUAAACUUCUUUUAGACGGGACAAAACCCCUUUACGUGUAAAGGGUUGAUGGUACUGACAGAAUAAGCAUCGGCUAACUUCGUGCCAGCAGCCGCGGUAAUACGAAGGAUGCAAGCGUUAUCCGGAAUUAUUGGGUUUAAAGGGUGCGUAGGCGGACUAAUAAGUCAGUGGUGAAAGCCUUCAGCUUAACUGCAGAAUUGCCAUUGCUACUGUUAGUCUUGAGUACAGUUGGGGUAGGCGGAAUGUGUCAUGUAGCGGUGAAAUGCUUAGCUAUGACACAGAACACCGAUUGCGAAGGCAGCUUGCUAAGCUGUAACUGACGCUGCGGCACGACAGCGUGGGGAGCAAACA
rnacentral:rRNA from 1 species